GAAAAAUCUUCUUUUCAAAAAAGACUUCUCUGAUUGGAUCUCAUAUUUAAUCAUAAUUAAAAUGUAACAGGCUUUUGUGCAACCGGGCCUUAGAGUAAUUGAUAUAGAUAUACAUCUAGAAGAAGCGAGCUGACAUUUAUAGUGAGGUAGUGGCUAUAAUGACAUUGGUAUACCAUACUAUACCAUAGGUGCUAUCUUUUCUCUAUGGUAGUACAUAGAAGGUAGAGGAAACGGGAAAAACCUUUGAUUUCCACUGACUUUAUAACGUAAAUCUCAUUAUAUUAGUGUUUUAGUUGUUAAAACUAACUGUUUUUCAACUCAAAUUGUUUUUUUUUCUCGUUCUGGAGUGUAAAUAGUUGUAAUGAAAUAUUUGUUGCAAAAUAAGGCAAACAACCUGCAUAAUUGAAAUGUAGUAUGACUUGGAAAUGAUGAAUUAUAUCAGGAAUGAAAGUAUAAUCAAGGAACAAUCAAUCUGAAAACAAUAUCAGCAUUUAUUUUCAAAUUUUCAUCAACUUCAACAGAAAAUCUAUAAAUUUACAACAAUGUAGACUAACUAAAAUAAGAAAAUCACUACUAUGAUAAAAACUAUAAAUAUUUCCUAAUAAAUGAAAUAAAUAACUCUCUUCACAUUUUUUUUCUUUGAAAACAAAGCAACAAUAUCAAUUCAAAUAGAAUAAUUACUAGAAUAAUCCAAAAAUGUUAAUGUUUCUAUAUCUAUAGUUAUCAUAGUAUUGUAAAUAAUCUAACCUAAAAAUAAUUUACAUUUUUCAUCGAAUUAAAAUUCUCAAAGAAAUUAGAAAAUAACUCGGAAGCUUUAUUGGAAAGACUAGUAGACAAGUUUAGUAAAGUAGAAAAGUGAUGUUAAUAGGUAAUUUAUGAAAGAAUUUUUCAUUUUUUGUUGAUAUACAUUCAACAUUAAUAAUUGAAUGUUUGCGGAACAACUUCAAAUUUUAUUUUAUUUUCACAGUACAUUUGUAGUUAACAUUUUUGAUGAAAUAAAUAUUCAAAUUUGAAAUCAUUGGUCUCAAUUUCUCCUCUUCAAAACUCUUAGGAUAAAACUCAGAACUUUAUUUACAAAACACUUAUAAGUAAUAAGUUAUAAUUGGGUACUUAAAGCCAAUUUUAGAUCAAACAAUGUGAAGCAGUGAAAUACAUUAGAUCUACUGCAAAACUCAUUAAUAAAUUCUCUCCAUUCAAGUAAAUGAUUGAUCAAGAAAAUGAGAU